UUUCAAUUAUCUUCUUUGUCUCUCUUUGCUACUCCAGAUACAGAAAAUUUUCUAAUCACUUCGAGGAAAAUCAAAGAACUUAGAUCUCUAAUUUCAUACAUGAAGAAGAACUAAAGGAAUAAAAAGGGGUUAGUUUCGAAAUUAUUACUUCAAAACAAAUAAAUUACUUUUGUUCGAAUCUCAAUGUAUAUUGAUUUUUAUUAAUUCCUGGUAGUGAUUUUUGUAGGGGUUUGAUUAUAUUUUUUGAGAACUGGUGAAUCUUCUUAAGGUUUAAUCAAGGAGGAAAUUAGGUUUUGAGGAGUUUGAAUUUUUUAUUUUUUAUUUUGAUUUUUGUUUGAUUGUUUGAGUGUAGAUAUUGCUAAAAGGUUGUAGCUUUUUGAUGACUUUACUGUCAAUUCGUUAAUUAGGGAUUGAAAUUAAGUAUGAUUUUGUGAAAUUGGGGAUGGAUUUUAACUGGACUUUUUUUGUUUGAUUAUGGUGAUGGUGGUGGUGGUGAUUGUUUCCGGUUGUGGUGGUGGUGGAGAUGAGUGGAAGUUUUUUUCGUGAAGAUUGAAGAUUUCUUGUUGGUGUUGUUAUGCUCAAUCAAGUUUUGGUCUUUAUGGGUUUUUUGAUGAUUCAAUUUGAUUGAAAGUCAACUUUGUUAAUGUGUAAUGCUUUCCGGAACUUCAGUUUUGACGCUAUAAAUACACAAACAUGGUGUUGGUGGUGCUUAUACUGGUGCUUUAGGUACGAGCUGGAGAAGAUUUGCAGGUCAACGAUGGGUCCAAAAUUUUCUUUGUUGAUGAAUUCCUUUCUUUAGCUGGAGAGAUGAGAAGAAAAUCGUGGUAGGAAAGGUGUAACAGAGGUGUAAUGAAUUCAUAUAUUUGAUUUUCUUUUUAUGUAACGGAGAGUUAAAGUUGUUGAAAAAAUAAUAUUUAUUAAAUUUUUUUUUCUU